GUUUUCUGUAACACACGUGGAUUCACUAUAGUCUUUCUCUUUUCACUUUAUCACAAGCUCGGCUAAAGCACAUCUCCUCUCGGCGUAGCUUUCUCUGUUUCUCUUUCAUUUUGAUCCUCAUUUUCGUCAUGAUUCAGAAUUGAUCUUCUGCCCUCAAGAUUGUACUAAGAAAAUGGAACACAGAUUUACCAUCGGCUCUCAAUCACAUCACUGACCAAAGGCUGCAAUAGGAUGACCAAAAGCCAGUCCUACUAAUUCCUCCAACAUAGCUACAGGUAUCUUUUGGAGAUAUGAUUGCUUUCUACAAUGAGAGGAACAUAUAGAAGGUCCGAGAAGGAGUCCAAGGAUUAAAAGCAGUGACAGUUUCUUCCUUUUUUUUAAGAAAAAGAAGCGACUGUUUCAAUUUUUCAAGUGAUAUUUGACUAUACAUCUACAACUACCCUUGACUAUAUUGUUGCCGCUAAGAAAGAAAACGAAAUAAUAGAGCAGGACCACAUUAAAGGUGGAAAAAAGGACUUUUAAGAGAAAAAUAAGAACAACAUCAACAUGACAGAGAGAAAAAACUAACGCAGAAAAAGCAAAGAAUGGCAAAUGAAAUUCAGAAUAGGGCGAAUAGAUUAGAACUACGGUUAAUAUGCACCAAGGUAUAAGUGUUUCAUCUCUUCUUAUAAUCCAUUUGGGAGAAAAGUAGUGAAAAUUCCCACUUUCCAGAGAAUUGAAGAGAGUGCUGCCCAACAUGUGACUGAGUGGAAAUUACUUCCAGAGAAUUGAAGAGAGUACUGCCCAACACGUGGAAGACCGGAAAUUACUUCCAGAAUUUGCAUAUUCCUUAAAGGAAACUACAAAAUGUGAUGUCUGUAGUUUUGGAGUUGUUCUAAUGGAAUUGAUCAAUGGAAAGAAGCCAGUGGAGCCAGAAUUUGGUAUUUUUUUAUGGGUAUCGACAGACGUGGAGACCAAAGAAGGAGCAUUUGAAGUCUUGGAUAAAAGAGUCUCAGAUAGUACGCCAGCUCAGCGUCCUACGAUGAAUGAAGUCGUUCAGCGCCUAAUUGAGGCGGAUCCUUGAAAAUUCAAUUGUUACAACAUGUCAAAUAAGAAAGAAGAAUUACACAAAAGAAGUGAUAAUAAGCCAAAGAGCAUAUAUGAUUUCUGAGUUUAGUAUGUCAGAUUAGUAUAUAAGGUCCAUAGAGUAUGACUACUGUAUGGUCUCAAAAGAAUUAGUCUUUGUGUUCGUUUCACCAACUUGGACAAACUUCAGGUACUAAACAACUAAUGGCCUUAAAAUUCAAGAACAUCGAGUUAGUCUUCAGUCGAUUAGAUCUCUUCAUGAGCGCAGGACAAUGUAGUUGCGGCUCUUGCUCUUCCAGAGAAUUCUUUAAAUUAUGUAUCUCCCAAGAUACAGCUAAAUACAAAUACAUAUAUUAGACUAAUGCUGCUUUUGCUACAAGCA